UUUUGGAUGAGGGAUAGUAGUGAAAAUCCUUUUUUAAGGGCUUUUUUUGCCCUAAAAAAGAUUGUAGCGAAUAGCCCGACCCGCU
rnacentral:sRNA from 1 species